GGUUAAAAAGCUCGUAGUUGGAUCUCGGCAAGUAGAGGGCGGUAUGCUUCGUAGCAUUACUGCCCUAUUACUUGUAGUUUUGCCAGAGGUUCCUGGGUGCUCUUAAUCGAGUGUCUAGGGAUGCUGGCAGGUUUACUUUGAAAAAAUUAGAGUGCUCAAAGCAGGCUAUUACGCUUGAAUAUUCGUGCAUGGAAUAAUAGAAUAGGAAGUUGUUUCUAUUUUGUUGGUUUUCGGAAAUCGACUUAAUGAUUAAUAGGGACAGUCGGGGGCAUUUGUAUUCAAACGACAGAGGUGAAAUUCUUGGACCGUUUGA
rnacentral:rRNA from 1 species